rnacentral:tRNA from 1 species
ACCUGGCUGGCUCAGUCAGAAGAGCAGGUGACUCUUGAUCACCAGGUCAUGAGUUUGAGCCCCAUGUUGGGUG